AUUAAAUUGGUAAACCGGUUGGUCUGUCCACUAAACCGGAGAGUGAGAAUGCGGUCGCUGGCGAGAAAGCGGCCGACGAUCGUUUCCUCUUCGCCGACUCCAUCACUGUCCUUCAGAUCCAGCCGCUCUCGCUGACGCCUACUCCCCCAAUGUCAUAGCUCUCUCUCUCUCUCUCUCGUGCUACAAUGCAACACCGGCGAGUCUCCGAUGGUGUGAUUUUCGAGCUUUUUGAAUCUGAUUGAUGGUAUUUGUUAGACCUGGAAGGUGGGUGGUGCGUGGCUAUGGAGGCUACAACGCCCGAUGGACUUUGUUCUUGCUUCAUCACACUUUCCCUCUCGACUCUUCAAGCCCUCCUUCUGGGCCCUUGAUAGGCAGCAUGUACCUGUGGAAGAAACCUAAGAAAAUUUGCUCAGCUUCUGAAGCCUCCUAAAUGAACGAACCCUGUAACUUUCAAUAGAGGAGUUCCAAAUGUAUUUUCAGUUAUAUCAGCAUGCUACAAAUUGUUGCUUCUCCCUUCUUAUAGAAGUGUUCAACUACCUCGCUAGUUGCGCUUAUAAUGUAACUCGCUUCCAAUUUAUGAAACCGGGCAUAAAAGCAAUGCCAGGCGUUUAAUUCAAAUCACUGAAAUUUGGAGCACAUUUCUGCUUGCCCUGCCGCCAGUUUUCGCAGGAGACGUAUCAUGUAGGAACUAUGAGAAGUUGAUAAGAUUGAUGGGUCUGCAUCUGCUAGACGAGGGCAAUGCAUUGGUGCAUCAAGUAUCGAAAAUGUUCAGAGAAGCAUGGCUCUCUCCGGGAAAGAUCCCAGGCAAAGCUUUCGAAGGCCAGUGCUCGUAGGAUUUGGGUUCACCGGAAUCUUCAGAACUCGACAUUCCAGUUCAUAGAUCCAAGAGCCAGCCUCUUCUGUUCUGUAUGUUUCUCUCCAGACAUCAAGAGAUCAGUUCCCAAACAAUAAACCACUAUUGCUCUCCAUGAUGCCUAAAGUUAACAGGCUAAAUCUUCAUUUCUUAAAUUUCAAUUUAUUGUUACAAGUUCUUAAGUCAUGUAUCUCUGUAAUUCCACUCUCCAAUGGGUAAAUAUGGAGAGUUUUCCAUGAAGGGUCCGAAAUUCAUUUCAA